CUUGUUUCCACACUCCAACAGCUCUAUCCAGUUGCCUCCAUUUGUUUAAAUUCGUCCAAGACUUCAGGCAAGAUAUUUAAAUCAGUCUCACACAUUUCUUUGCUUCAGUUUUCCUGUCCAUGAUUUCCUGUCCAUGAUUUCCUGUCCAUGAUUUCAUGUCCAUGAUUUCCUGUCCAUGAUUUCCUGUCCAUGAUCUUCUGCCCAUGAUCAAUCAGGUUCUUCAUGUCUUUACUCUUGCUCUUUAUUCUCUUCAUGUCAAUAGCUUAUGAAGCAGGUAAUUUGUGGCUCAUGGUGUUGUUAUUAUGAUCGAAUUGUUUUGGUUCUGCCAUAGUCAUGCUCAGAAGCACGAUAAACUCGAUAACCUUUAUCAUCAUCACACAUAUCACUUGGAAUUUGCAUCUUCGGCAUUGUUUAUAGAAGAUAGAACUUAUUCAGGCUAUAUACUAUUAUGGAGGAAGAAGGUUCUAGGUGUAGGCAUUUAUAGAGGAUUCCAUUAAGUGGAUGGUUUCUGUGUUAUGUCUCUUACAUUUUUAUCGCUUUGAAUCGGUAUGGAGUAGUUUUAGGACUGAUUCUUAGUUUCUGUUGUUGUUGAUGCUGCUUUGGAUCUGUAUGGAGUGAUUUUAGGACUGGUUUGGAAUCUGCAUCUUCUUCAGUAACCUUAAUCAUCAUCACACAUACUCACUUGGUGUCACUUCUAUAUAUUGUUACAGAAGAAGGUUCUAGGUCUAGGCAUUUACAUAGGAUUUCAUAAAUUGGAGAAGGAGAUAUGUACAAGAAUAUAUGCACACGAAUUUAGGUGUUUGUCACGCUUGUUUGAAUAAUGUUUAUCUCCUGUUUUCUUUUGCAGGUUUUACCUCACUCUGGGUUACACUCUUUUUUUCAGCAGCUGUGGGAGCUCACAUGCACAUGUUGUGGGAGCUCACAUGCACAUGUUGUGGGAGCUCACAUGCACAUGUUCUUCAACCCUUUAGCUACCUCAGUUUGCUUUGACUUGGAUUACAUAUCCUUGAUUUUGACAGAAUCGUGGGGAUACCCCCGUACGCUCUUCUUUUAAACCGCUAGUUUUAACAGUUUUUAAACUAAUCUUUAUUUUUUAACUUCUUUGACAUUUAUUUGUCUUUUUGACUUUCUAGGUCUUCGCUUAGGAGUGUUGAUGCUCAUUGCCUUUCUCAAAGGGGUAUCAGCAGGGUCAAUCAUGGAGCUUGUUUUUGACUGGGACAUAAAGUGAUUGUCUAGUAGGAUACAUUUUUUCUCCUCUAAAUCAUUAACUAACUCUUGUUAUUGUUCUAUAGGUUCUACAUAACUUUACUGCUUGGAGGAUCACUCUUAUUCUCCUGCUUGUCUGCCACAACUGGUGCUGCAAAAUGGAGAGAUGUGAACUAUCUUAUGUCCAUACUCCUUUAUGUCAUAUCUAUCCCCAUUUGGCUUGAGUAUUCUCUCUGGAUUCCAAGAGAAGAAUAUUUGCUCAGGUAUGAAGCAUGCUCUUGUUUCUUGACCUUUGGUGUACUCGUGUGCAAGUAGUACUCAGACAGAGUAAUCAAUGGAGGCAUUGACUUGGACCCUGUGAACCACACACUCUCAUUCUACUCUUAUGUGCUUAUCCAAUUCCAAAUGCUCAUGGUGAGAUAUAUUCGUUUUUAAUCAUUGGUUGUUUUAAAUUCAAUUGCCACAAAUAACAUCAUGUUUGCUCUCUCUUCUUGAGCAAUUCUUGUGCAGUCACAAUUUUGUUGCAGAUAAGGAUGAGAACGAAAGAAGAACAGGGAAGAAGUAAAUGAAUCUCAUGAUAACUCCCUCUUAGCAACUAACAAGUACCAUGUGGAUGGACUAAGAAGAAAAAAGAAAAGUAGCAGAGUAUUGAAACCAAGUAUAGUAUAGUUAUUGUAAUUACAUUUGCAAUAACUUAUUUUGUGUGUUUGUUGGUUGAUAAAGAAAAACAAUUUAGAUAUUUCAAUGCAUUCAAGGCGGGGGAGAGUGGACUCGUGUCCUGCCAUCAUGUCAAGUCGACACAUGUCCCACUUAGUGAGAGUGAAACAAAAACACCUCAUGAUAUUGCAUCUGCAAACAUCACUGACCUUGGAGUGAUACCGUCUGUAGAAGCAAAGAGGAAGAAUUGAUGAAGCUGUCACAGAGUAUGGCGAGAACUUUCUGUCUCACCAUAAGCACUUCGUACGGACAAGCACUGUCUGAAUCACCAAAAGAGACGGUGAGAAUCACGACCCGGAAAGUUUGUGGUGGUGUUGUUUUAUGUGGCGUCUUCACCACGUUGCUUCCUUAUUCUCAUCAUCAAGUAUUUGAUCUUCUCCGCAACGAUCAUCAUCGCUCUCAGUUAAAGAUUCAAAACAAAAACCUUCCUCCAUUGAUUCUUGUGAUCCAAGAUACUGAAACUUUAUUUCUUACCUUACUGAAGAUGGAGAUGUUGUUUAAUGAGAAUCCGUUUCAAAAAGUUGCUCAUAUUGCAAAUGGAUAACAUCCUGGAAACUGCAUUUCUCUUCUUCACUUCCAUGGGCCGAGUAGCUCAUCGAAUAAUGUAGAGUGGAUGCUUCAAGAAAUAUGCACUGAUAACUCCGGGACUCUCGUGGUUUACUCUACCGCCGACGCCAACGCCGUCCAUCUCGCGAUGAACGGCCAGGAUUCUUCUACAAUUUCUCUUUUGCCCUUAGGGUUCUCUGUUGUUCAUGUGAAUCAACCCCAUGUGUUUGAGGGCAUUUCCGUCAAUUUGGCUUCGUGCUUGCUCACCGUUGCGGUACAGGUCUUGGUGAGCGACUUCACCACCGCAAGUCUCAACGUUUCCACUACAGCUAUCAACAACCGUAUUUGCUCAACUGUCUACCGACACUACAAGAAAACAUCAAGGAUUCUGAGGGAAAAAAUCGUCGGAAUUUCGUCGGAAUAUCGUUAUUCCGACGAA